rnacentral:rRNA from 1 species
CCUACGGGAGGCAGCAGUGAGGAAUAUUGGUCAAUGGGCGUAAGCCUGAACCAGCCAAGUCGCAUGAGGGAUGAAGGUUCUAUGGAUCGUAAACCUCUUUUAUAAGGGAAUAAAGUGUGGGACGUGUCCUGUUUUGUAUGUACCUUAUGAAUAAGGAUCGGCUAACUCCGUGCCAGCAGCCGCGGUAAUACGGAGGAUCCGAGCGUUAUCCGGAUUUAUUGGGUUUAAAGGGUGCGUAGGCGGCCUUUUAAGUCAGCGGUGAAAGUCUGUGGCUCAACCAUAGAAUUGCCGUUGAAACUGGGAGGCUUGAGUAUGUUUGAGGCAGGCGGAAUGCGUGGUGUAGCGGUGAAAUGCUUAGAUAUCACGCAGAACCCCGAUUGCGAAGGCAGCCUGCCAAGCCAUGACUGACGCUGAUGUACGAAAGCGUGGGGAUCAAACAGGAUUAGAUACCCCGGUAGUC